rnacentral:tRNA from 1 species
GGAGAGUUGUCCGAGUGGUUUAAGGACCCGGUCUCGAAAAUCGGUAUGCACCAAUGGCGCAUCUAGGGUUCGAAUCCCUAACUCUCCGCCA